rnacentral:rRNA from 2 species
UUGGAGGGCAAGUCUGGUGCCAGCAGCCGCGGUAAUUCCAGCUCCAAUAGCGUAUAUUAAAGUUGUUGCAGUUAAAAAGCUCGUAGUUGAAUUUCGGAGUUUGUCGGUUGGUCGGGCUUCACUGUCCGCACUGACCUGAUGGAUUCCUACCUUCUGAAUAACCAGCAUGCUAUUAAGUUAGUGCGUUGGGGAAGCAGAGCUAUUACCUUGAAAAAAUUAGAGUGCUUAAAGCAGGCUUAUGCUUGAAUAGAUUAGCAUGGAAUAAUAAAAUAGGACGGCAUGGUUCUAUUUUGUUGGUUUCUAGGAUCACCGUAAUGAUUAAUAGGGAUAGUUGGGGGCAUUAGUAUUCAAUUGUCAGAGGUGAAAUUCUUGGAUUUAUUGAAGACUAACUUCUGCGAAAGCAUUUGCCAAGGAUGUUUUCAUUAAUCAAGAACGAAAGUUAGGGGAUCGAAGACGAUCAGAUACCGUCGUAGUCUUAACCAUAAACUAUGCCGACUAGGGAUCGGACGAUGUUAAUUUUUUAAUGACUCGUUCGGCGCCUUACGGGAAAC